AGCAGUUGGACCUCACAGUGUGGAUUGUGCCUUCACCCUGGAAUGUUUAUGCCCUAUCGCCAUGGUGAUGGGAUUAGGGAUCUUCUGCCCUUGGUCCUAAGUGCCACUAUCUGUGCUGAGUUUUUCAAAGGUCAGAGCAGAUUGAACCAUUGUGGUUUCAUUUUCCCUGAUUUUGAUUUUUCUUAUGGGGAACCUGUGUGGCUGCAUUCAAGGUGACUCGAAGAAGCCUUCCAAAAAGCAUGUGAAAAGGAAGCCCUACUCUACUACCAAGGUGACUUCAGGGAGCACAUUCAAUGAGAAUACAAGAAGAUAUGCUGUGCACACCAACCAGUGUAGGAGACCUCAUGGCUCCCGGGUAAAGAAGAAGAGGUACCCACAAGAAGAUGACUUCCAUCAUACAGUCUUCAGCAACCUUGAAAGAUUGGACAAGCUUCAGCCCACUCUUGAAGCCUCUGAGGAGUCUCUAGUUCACAAGGACAGAGGAGAUGGAGAGAGGCCAGUCAACGCGAGGGUGGUGCAGGUGGCCCCUCUGAGGCUUGAAUCUAGAGCCAUUGACACUGGAGAAUGAUACGUACCCUGAAAUAACUCACUUCCUGAGGAAAAAGCGCCAUCUCUAGGGUACAGAAACCUGAUUCUGGGCUCCUUUUGGGAAGGAGGAUUUGGGGUCUGGUGAGAGCAAAUGAUUUUGCAAGUAUAAAACCAUGUCCAGAGAGGCUGUAGGGAUAUCUGUGAGCCCAGAGGAAACACCAGGGGAUCCUGUGCGAAGCACCAUGGCUUCAGCUAGGGUGGGAGGAGUGGGUGGGCCUCUCUCUAAUGACUUAUCCUGGUGUUUGUGUUUCUAAAGAUUUGAUUGUGGAGAGCAUAUCUGAUGAUGGGGAUUUGUAGGUAGGUAACUGCUUUCCACGUAAGAUCCAAUUGGAGAGAGUUCCCAGGGGCCUUCGGGGUAUCCAUGCUGCUUGGGAGGUUAAGGGAGGGGGCAUGAAAUCAAAACGAAACAGGAAAUAUGUGUCAUAUUGGAUUUGGUCUUUUCCGGGUUUAUUGGCAUAAUAGUUGGAACUGUCUCUCUGGGCUAUGAGGGUGCUGUGUUAUUUAAAGGUGGUCUUUCCCAGAACACCUGGCCUUUUCUUUUCUGCCUCUGCCAAACAUCACAGCCUUUGGGUUGGAUUAGUCAGCACCCCUUGGGAUUGUGCAGAAGAGGUUUGGGGUUGCAUCGAGUGUCACCUGUGGUGAACAGAAUCUGAGGGACACAACUCUCUCACAGGCACUUCCUCCAACCUGGAGACAGAGUUCUCCUGGUGUGUGCCCAGGGGUGGAGGAGAAAUUGACAGUCUGCCUCUGAACUUUCAGGACUUUAAAAAGCACUCAUGUUUCCAUCCUCACUGUUGACUCCUGGCUUAAAGGGAUCUCCCGGGGUGAGUGAGGAGGCGGGAUCGGACCCUGGCAGUCUGACGGCAGCACCUGUGUUCCUCUGCACUGGGCCGUGGAUGACAUUACACACCUUGCCACUCCCACGGUCCUGUGUGUUCCGGAUAUUUUAAAAUAAUGGCUAUAAGGUUGAGCACUUCAGGAUACGCUGUUUUGCUGUGUGCAGAUGGAGGCAGUGGCUGGAGUGAAUGAACGGCAACACUUGCUGGCAACCGGCAGAAGCUGAGAGACAGGGAACAGGCUCUCCUCCAGAGCCUCCAGGAGCCAGGCCUUUGGCCACCUUGAAUGUGGGCUUCUGGGAGACCAUGCGUUUCUGUUAUAAGCAGCCCAGUCUCUGGCAGUUUUUACGGCUGCCCCGGAACACUCAUCUAUACCUGUCUGACAAGGUCAAGCUCCAAGGAAGGGACUCUCUACAUAUCUACAUUGUUUGCAGAUUUUACAAUAAUCAUUUAUUCUUGCAUGGCUGAUCAUUGUUAACCAAUACAAAUAAAAUAAUAAAGAAAUG
ensembl:lncRNA FAM230H family with sequence similarity 230 member H